UGGGUUGUGGCUCAGUGGUAAAGUGCUCACCUAGCACAUGCAAGGCCCUGAGUUCAAUCCUCAGCACCACAU
rnacentral:tRNA from 1 species